UACAGAGGGCUCAAGCGUUGUUCGGAUUCAUUGGGCGUAAAGGGUGCGUAGGCGGCGCGGUAAGUCGGGUGUGAAAUCUUGGAGCUUAACUCCGAAACUGCAUUCGAUACUGCCGUGCUUGGGGACUGGAGAGGAGACUGGAAUUUACGGUGUAGCGGUGAAAUGCGUAGAUAUCGUAAGGAAGACCAGUGGCGAAGGCGGGUCUCUGGACAGUUCCUGACGCUGAGGCACGAAGGCCAGGGGAGCAAACGGG
rnacentral:rRNA from 1 species